AACGAACGCUGGCGGCAUGCCUAACACAUGCAAGUCGAACGAUACCUUCGGGUCUAGUGGCGCACGGGUGCGUAACGCGUGGGAACCUGCCCUUAGGUUCGGAAUAACUCCCCGAAAGGGGUGCUAAUACCGGAUAAUGUCUUCGGACCAAAGAUUUAUCGCCUUUGGAUGGGCCCGCGUUGGGUUAGCUAGUUGGUAGGGUAAAAGCCUACCAAGGCGACGAUCCAUAGCUGGUCUGAGAGGAUGAUCAGCCACACUGGGACUGAGACACGGACCAGACUCCUACGGGAGGCAGCAGUGGGGAAUAUUGGACAAUGGGCGAAAGCCUGAUCCAGCAAUGCCGCGUGAGUGAUGAAGGCCUUAGGGUUGUAAAGCUCUUUUACCCGGGAUGAUAAUGACAGUACCGGGAGAAUAAGCUCCGGCUAACUCCGUG
rnacentral:rRNA from 1 species